UUAGUACGGGAAGAGAGGGUAAGGCACUAAAGUGAAUUAUAGGUUUAUAUAGUGGUCGAUGUACCGCGUCAUAGCCUCAGACACUCGGCAGACAAAGUAGCUGUCGGCUACAAAGUAGCGGAGCAGUGAGGAAAGGUGACUGGCAGGACGACGCAGGGAGAUGGUGACAGUGUUCUUUUCUUUUCAUGCUCUUUCCACUAUGACUAGUGGAAGCACUCGACUAGCACUAUGAUUAGCACUCGACGAAGCACCUCUCCCGCAGUGAGCUCCUGCUUCACCAUAAACUCCGGUAGAGGAUCUACGUACGUUGGGGUCACCAAACACACGUUGGAUAUGUUCCGCAACUUCACGUUGUCAGCAGAGAGUUAACAUCACUUAUCACACAUUUACUUAUUUUUUUAAUAAAACGCCGAUAGCGCAUACCUCUUAAUAUCACAGCGUGCGCAGCAGAAGAAUGGAAUAUUUCAACGUCGUAGUUGGCUGAUGAGCUGGCAUUUUGUUCUUCCUUCAUGGGUAUACCAGUUACUGUAGUACUGGCAAGGUCAUAAUGUGAUAGAAUAAGAUGUGAUAACUUGGAGUAAAGCGCUGAAGCUUUGAUUGAAUGCACUUCUACCGUUAGCAAUGGUGAGAUCUACAAAAGAAAAUUUACUCCAUUAAGAAUAUUAAUUCUUAUAUACAAUUUUUUUGUAACACAUUCCGGAUAAAAUUGAAUAUUGAUUCGUUAUUAAAAACAUACCUCUCGUGGACCUUGACUAGUGACUUGUGGCUCAAUAUUGUUGGGAAAUAUAUUUAAUAUAACCAGAUGACAGUAAUCAAUGGGUAUCAAGCUGUGAGACAAAAAAUGUAAUAACAUUAUAUUGUGAUAAAGUAUGACACUUCAAUGAAAUAAUUAUAUAAAUACUGACUGAUCUGAA